CAACCCAGGGAUCAAACCUGCAUAUCCUGCUUUUCAGGCGGAUUCCUUACCAUCUGAGCGACCAAGGGGCCCAGCGUAUUUAAUGUUACAAUCCAUUCAUCCACAAAGAGAAGCGAACCUGUAGGAGUGAUGCUGUGCAGAAGCCAGGGUACAGUGGGUGGGCUCUCGCGAGCCAAUGCCCUCCUCCCAGAAGNNNAUCGGUAAAUCGGUAGAAAUGGAGAAACCAACACGGGGACACAGAUACAUGACCAUCAACUCAACUACAGACGCUGUUUGGAUCCAGCUGGCUUCCCCGUGAAUGCCUGGUCCCGCUCAGGAUCUCACACAGGUUAUGAUGCUGCAUUUAGAGGCCACUCGCGUCUCAGGAUGUGGUCUGUAAAGCACCCCGUGCCCAUCAGAGUCUCCCCUGAAUCCCACAGCUGGAGCGCUGACACAGGGCGUCAUUUGAGACUCACUUGCAUGCAGCAAGACAGGUCUGUACUCUAGAAAACGGGAGGGAAUCUGUAAGUUUUGCUCAGGCUGAGUCUCUGGGUAACCUCGAUGCCUUGGCCAGGGGAUCAGAACAACCCCCGGGGUAAGGGAUGCAGAAAUCAAAACAUCCCCACCAGGCACCAAAGUGACUUGUCUCCCCCGCUCGCUCGGGGGCCACCAGCC
rnacentral:lncRNA from 1 species